UACGUAGGGGGCUAGCGUUGUCCGGAAUCAUUGGGCGUAAAGCGCGUGUAGGCGGUCCGGUAAGUCCGCUGUGAAAGUCGGGGGGCUCAACCCUCGGAUGCCGGUGGAUACUGUCGGGCUCGAGUACGGAAGAGGCGAGUGGAAUUCCUGGUGUAGCGGUGAAAAUGCGCAGAUAUCAGGAGGAACACCAAUUGCGAAGGCAGCUCGCUGGGACGUUACUGACGCUGAGACGCGAAACUGGGGAGCAAACAGG
rnacentral:rRNA from 1 species